rnacentral:lncRNA from 1 species
CCAAACCGGGUUGGAGCCGCCAGCACGGAUCCCGGGCAGGUUUGGCGAGCACUGCCUCCGUGUACAGCUGCUUAUUAUCCCUGCUUUAAAGCGCUUUAUUUUCAUGGCGCUGCUCGUUUUCAUCCCAGAUCAAGUCCUAAAGGGACGUUCAUUAAUGUGGAAUUAACCCUGCCCCCUGCUUCCCAGGGCCCUGGUUGAUUUUGGACCAACUAUAAAGAGUGAAUGGCAACAGGGAAGUGAAAAGGAGAAGGAAAAACAUCAGAUGGACUGCUCAGUUACCCUCCAGUCAUUAAUUAACCACAUCCCCCCCCGUUACAGCCCCCCUGGCUCCAGCCAAAGCAUUUUGCCCUUUAGCUUGAAAGGGAAAAAUUCCGUUCUGGGGGUUGCACGUGGUCUCACAUGGUUUGGGGUUUUUUUUUCUCCUCCAGGAGACAAGCGAAGCCGAGCGGCGCCGCAUCGGGGCCGAGUUCGAGCGGCUGCACCGGUUCUUGGCGGAGAAGGAGCGCGCGGUGCUGGGGCGGCUGGCGGAGCUGGACGCCGCCUUCGAAGCGGCCCAAGCAGAAAAAUCUUUGCGGGUGGCCGAGGGGAUUACGCGGCUCCACGGGCUCAUUGGGCAGCUGGAGGUCAAGCGCACACCCCAGGAUAUCGGGAGCAUCCUAAGCAGCUGGAGCGAAAUGAGGCUUCACCUCCCCUCCGAGCUCCCCGCCGAGCUGGAGAAGAGCCUGAGCUCCUGCCGCCGCCAACGGGACGCUCUCUGGGAGGCCCUGAAGGAAUUCAGAGACACGGGGCAACCCGAAACAAAGCCAGGAAGGGGGAAAUGUCCCAGCGCAGAAGAAAAGGCGAAACCGCCUCGGGAGCCCGGAGCAGUUCCUCUCCCGCAGCUUUUGGCAGACAGAAAAAGCGUGCGGUGGGAUGAAGAGGAGCGGGACAAGCCUCAAGGGCCGGCCGGCAGUGGCGAGCGGGUCACCCCGGGGAGAUGCAGGACACGGACGUGUUAGCCGGAUUCUGCCAGACGCUGCUUUUCCCUCCGGAUACCCGGGUGCUGCCUGCACCCCCAAACACGAGCUCUCUCCCAGCCCGGAUCCUGCUGAACAAGCCGCAAAAGCCUCCGCUCUGCCCCAAACUUGCCCUCACCAAUGCUGCCCCUUCCCUUAGCGACCGCUCUUGGGGUGCUCGAGUGUUGCCGUUCGCCGUUAAGGUAAUGAAAAAAAAAAAAAAUUAAGGUGUUGAUUGCUUCUGCGGGGGGGGAAGGCAGCGGCCGGGACGUGGGGGUCCGUCGGUGCGGAGAGGCGGACCUGGUUGAAAACCGCGCCGCCGAGCUUCCACCGGCGCCUGCGGGGCACGGCGGACCUGACA